AGCGAACGCUGGCGGCAGGCUUAACACAUGCAAGUCGAGCGGGCAUCCUUGUGGUGUCAGCGGCAGACGGGUGAGUAACGCGUGGGAACGUGCCCUUCGGUUCGGAAUAACUCAGGGAAACUUGAGCUAAUACCGGAUACGUGCGAGAGCAGAAAGGUUUAUCUGCCGAAGGAUCGGCCCGCGUCUGAUUAGCUAGUUGGUGAGGUUACGGCUCACCAAGGCGACGAUCAGUAGCUGGUCUGAGAGGAUGAUCAGCCACACUGGGACUGAGACACGGCCCAGACUCCUACGGGAAGCAGCAGUGGGGAAUAUUGGACAAUGGGGGCAACCCUGAUCCAGCCAGGCCGCGUGAGUGAUGACGGCCUUAGGGUUGUAAAGCUCUUUUCUCCGGGACGAUAAUGACGGUACCGGAGGAAUAAGCCCCGGCUAACUUCGUG
rnacentral:rRNA from 1 species